AGAACCGCAGCUGUCUGAUAGUGUAGUGUUUGUCCACAGCAGGACUGUCCCUGUCUGCAUGUCACUGCUUGUGCUGCGGGUCCCUCACAGAAUCACUUCCUGUCUGUUCAUAUGUAAAGACUCAGGGAGCUUGCUCUUAUGUUGUAUGUACACCGCUUCCUCUCUGACUGACAGAGGCUGUAAAUAAACCGUCUGAAAGUGCUUUACAAA